CACUGGUGCUGCAUGGCUGUCGUCAGCUCGUGUCGUGAGAUGUUGGGUUAAGUCCCGCAACGAGCGCAACCCUCGUCCUUAGUUACCAACAGGUAAUGCUGGGCACUCUAAGGAAACUGCCAGUGAUAAACUGGAGGAAGGUGGGGAUGAUGUCAAGUCAGCACGGCCCUUAUAAGGUGGGCUACACACGUGCUACAAUGGCAACUACAAUAGGUCGCGAGACCGCAAGGUU
rnacentral:rRNA from 1 species